rnacentral:rRNA from 1 species
AUUGAACACUGGCGGCAGGCCUAACACAUGCAAGUCGAGCGGAAGCAGGGCGCUUGCUCCUGGAUUCUGCGGCAGACGGGUGUAUAAUGCCUAGAAAUAUGCCUGGUAGGGGGGGAUAACGUCCGGAAACGGGCGCUAAUAGCGCAUGCGUCGUGGGGGAGAACGGGGGGGAGCUUCGGAACGCAUGCUAUCGGAUGAUCCGAGGUCGGAUUAGCUAGUUGGUGGGGUAAAGGCCUACCAAGGCGACGAUCCGUAACUGGUCUGAGAGGAUGAUCAGUCACACUGGAACUGAGACACGGUCCAGACUCCUACGGGAGGCAGCAGUGGGGAAUAUUGGACAAUGGGCGAAAGCCUGAUCCAGCCAUGCCGCGUGUGUGAAGAAGGUCUUCGGAUUGUAAAGCACUUUAAGUAGGGAGGAAGGGCAGUAAGUUAAUACCGCGCUGUUUUGACGUUACCAACAGAAUAAGCACCGGCUAACUUCGUG